AGUGGGGGGGGAGGGGGGGGGGUGAUUUAAAAUAAAUGACAUUAAUGAGAGAAGGCAUUAGCUGAUGAUAGGCUACUGUGGAACUUGCGUGGCAUUACUGUGGAACUGCUGUUUUCCAGGACUUCUUCUCAUGGGACAUUGUAAACAGGAAAAUGACUGAGAGAAAGGAAAUAAAAUCUACUCUGACCUGACGGAGGAAUGGAACUUGGAAAUGGAACUUGGAAAUGGAAAUUUCCUGAUCAUAUGCCCUGAAGAUAAUUGUGAUUGUAUCGCAAACUGUUAAUUUGUGCUAAAAAUGUAAUAAAGCUUCUGGCUGUGUGACCUGAUGAUUUCUCAGCUGUUGUAAUGUCUUCACACACAUUUCCUUUCACUCACAACUCAGAUUGUGAAUGUAGCAUUUGGUGCGUUUUUAAUGAAUUUAUCUAAGAGAAAAUUUGUAUUAAAGUUCCUGAUAAUUUGACCUGAUGACAUCAUAAAUAAUACUUGAACCUGACUAAAGCAGGAAUCAAACACAGAUUUUUAUGAUGUGCAUUGUUCAAUGGCGAACAGCCUACCACAGCUCCACCUAAUCAGUUUUAUUUUAUUUGUAAAGCCUCAUAUAUACUUCAGUUCUCUAAACAUAUGCCCUGAAGAUAAUUGUGAUUGUAUCACAAACUGUUUAUUUGUGUUCAAAAUUUAAUACAGCUACUGGUAAUGUGACUUGAUGAUUUUACUGCUGUUGUUCACACACAUUUCCUUUCCAUCAUACACGAGUCGGAUUAUGAAAAUAACAAUUGGUCUAAUUUUCAUGAUUUUUUUUUCCGUAAUACAAAUCUGUUAAACUUCCUGGUCAUGUGAUCUGAUGAUGUCACACCAGUUGUACGAUCUUCACUCAAAACUUGGAUUUUGGAAAUAUGAUUUUGUGUAUUUUUGGUGAAUUUUUGAAAUAUUCAAAGCUAUAUAACUUCCUUGUCAUGUGACCAUUGCCACACCCACUGUAUUAUAUUCAUAAAUAUUGGUCAAACACCUCUCAUGCAGUAGUUUGUGGAAAUUUGUCUCAAACAUUUAAAAACAUCAAACGUAUCAAAUUUAUAUAUAUAGCACUUAGCUGAAUAUUUUAUUCAGCAGGUAAUGCUCAACCACGGAAAAGAUGAGUUAGCACCUAAAAUUCAGUACUGCCAAUAUUUUGGAAAAAAAACAUAUAGUUUUGAUGCCGUUUGUUGUGAUUCUGAGAUUAACUGUUGUAUGUUAGUUUGUUAAACUAGUUUUUUCAUAUUUUAUGGGGAAAUGUUUUCAGAUUAAAAAUGCAUGUUUUAUUUUGUUUUUAAAUGAAUAUUUGGAAUUGAAUUAAAAUAAAACAGAAAAUUGCAUGAAUGUUCCUUUAUUUGUUUGCUUUUUUCUUAAUUUUCUAGUUUAACAUAUUGGAAAAAUGAAACAACUGAUAUAGAUUUAACUUGGAAAUUACACUGGAAAAUGUUUAAUUCAUCCAUGAUCCAAUUAAAAAAAACAUAGGGUAAUGAUUUCACAUCUCAUUUUUUUUUACUUGAGCCAAUGAAAAAUAAAUAACUUGCCCUAAAC
ensembl:lncRNA